rnacentral:rRNA from 1 species
CCUACGGGAGGCAGCAGUAGGGAAUCUUCCACAAUGGGCGAAAGCCUGAUGGAGCAACGCCGCGUGAGCGAUGAAGGCCUUCGGAUCGUAAAGCUCUGUCGUCAGAGAAGAUAAUGACGGUGAGUGAAGAGUCAGCCCCGGCUCGCUACGUGCCCGCAACCGCGGUGAUACGUAGGGGGCUGGCGUUAUCCGGAAUUACUGGGCGUAAAGGGUGCGUAGGUGGUUUCUUAAGUCAGAGGUGAAAGGCUAAGGCUCAACCGUAGUAAGCCUUUGAACCUGGGGAACUUGAGUGCAGGAGAGGAGAGUGGAAUUCCUAGUGUAGCGGUGAAAUGCGUAGAUAUUAGGAGGAACACCAGUUGCGAAGGCGGCUCUCUGGACUGUAACUGACACUGAGGCACGAAAGCGUGGGGAGCAAACAGGAUUAGAUACCCCAGUAGUC